rnacentral:rRNA from 1 species
AUUAGCCAUGCAUGUCUCAGUACAAGCCGCAUUAAGGCGAAACCGCGAAUGGCUCAUUAAAUCAGUUAUGGUUCCUUAGAUCUUACACUUUUUACAUGGAUAACUGUGGUAAUUCUAGAGCUAAUACAUGAAACUUGUACCCCGACUUUACGGAAGGGGUGCUUUUAUUAGAACAAAACCAAUCGGUCGGCUUGUCCGUCCGUUACCUUGGUGACUCUGAAUAACUUUGUGCUGAUCGCACGGUCCUAGCACCGGCGACGCAUCUUUCAAAUGUCUGCCUUAUCAACUGUCGAUGGUAGGUUCUGCGCCUACCAUGGUUGUAACGGGUGACGGGGAAUCAGGGUUCGAUUCCGGAGAGGGAGCCUGAGAAACGGCUACCACAUCCAAGGAAGGCAGCAGGCGCGCAAAUUACCCACUCCCGGCACGGGGAGGUAGUGACGAAAAAUAACGAUACGGGACUCAUCCGAGGCCCCGUAAUCGGAAUGAGAACACUUUAAAUCCUUUAACGAGGAUCUAUUGGAGGGCAAGUCUGGUGCCAGCAGCCGCGGUAAUUCCAGCUCCAAUAGCGUAUAUUAAAGUUGUUGCGGUUAAAAAGCUCGUAGUCGGAGGUGUGUCUCGGACGGUUGGUUCGCCGCUUGCCGGUGCUCAACUGGCCGGUCCGGACGUCCUGCCGGUGGGGCUGUAAAAGGCUCCGUUAUCCUUCUUUGGUCCUCUUCAUUGAGUGCCUUGGUGGGCCGGCACGUUUACUUUGAACAAAUUAGAGUGCUCAAAGCAGGCCGUUGGUCGCCUGAAUACUGUGUGCAUGGAAUAAUAGAAUAGGACCUCGGUUCCAUUUUGUUGGUUUUCAGAACUCGAGGUAAUGAUUAAUAGGGACGGACGGGGGGCAUUCGUAUUGCGACGUUAGAGGUGAAAUUCUUGGAUCGUCGCAAGACGAACCGAUGCGAAAGCAUUUGCCAAGAACGUUUUCGUUGAUCAAGA